AUGGAAGGUAGACCAAACCAUGCAGGGUGUAGCAAUUAACAUUACAAAAAAGAAGACAUUGUCCUCUCUGAAUUCAGCCCCACUGAAGUGGCAUGCAGUAGGGAAGUAGAUGUACUGUCUACCCUGGGUGAAAGGCCUUAGUGAAGGGAACAGAUAGUUUGACUGUGAAUGAGACAAGGAGACAGGAGGCUGUUUGUCAAACAAAGGAAUGGAAUUACUAUACAAUCCAGAAAUUUCACUUCUGGCUAUCCA
rnacentral:lncRNA from 1 species